rnacentral:rRNA from 1 species
GNUUGGGCUCGACUCUCCCACCCUUUGUGAACGUACCUCUGGUUGCUUUGGCGGCUCCGGCCGCCAAAGGACCUCCAAACUCCAGUCAGUAAACGCAGACGUCUGAUAAACAAGUUAAUAAACUAAAACUUUCAACAACGGAUCUCUUGGUUCUGGCAUCGAUGAAGAACGCAGCGAAAUGCGAUAAGUAAUGUGAAUUGCAGAAUUCAGUGAAUCAUCGAAUCUUUGAACGCACAUUGCGCCCCUUGGUAUUCCGGGGGGCAUGCCUGUUCGAGCGUCAUUACAACCCUCAAGCUCUGCUUGGAAUUGGGCACCGUCCUCACUGCGGACGCGCCUCAAAGACCUCGGCGGUGGCUGUUCAGCCCUCAAGCGUAGUAGAAUACACCUCGCUUUGGAGUGGUUGGCGUCGCCCGCCGGACGAACCUUCUGAACUUUUCUCAAGGUUGACCUCGGAUCAGGUAGGGAUACCCGCUGAACUUAAGCAUAUCAAUAAGCGGAGGAAU